rnacentral:rRNA from 1 species
GACGUAGGGUGCAAGCGUUGUCCGGAUUUAUUGGGCGUAAAGAGCUCGUAGGCGGCUUGUUGCGUCGACUGUGAAAACCCGCGGCUUAACCGCGGGCUUGCAGUUGAUACGGGCAGGCUAGAGUUCGGUAGGGGAGACUGGAAUUCCUGGUGUAGCGGUGAAAUGCGCAGAUAUCAGGAGGAACACCGGUGGCGCAGGCGGCCCUGGCCGAGGGCCGACGCUGAGGCGCGAGAGCGUGGGGAGCGGAACCG